rnacentral:rRNA from 1 species
GUAGGUGGCAAGCGUUGUCCGGAAUUAUUGGGCGUAAAGCGCGCGCAGGCGGUUCUUUAAGUCUGAUGUGAAAGCCCACGGCUCAACCGUGGAGGGUCAUUGGAAACUGGAGAACUUGAGUACAGAAGAGGAAAGCGGAAUUCCACGUGUAGCGGUGAAAUGCGUAGAGAUGUGGAGGAACACCAGUGGCGAAGGCGGCUUUUCUGGUCUGUAACUGACGCUGAGGCGCGAAAGCGUGGGGAGCAAACAGGGAUUAGAUACCCUGGUAGUCCACGCCGUAAACGAUGAGUGCUAAGUGUUAGGGGGUUUCCGCCCCCUUAGUGCUGCAGCUAACGCAUUAAGCACUCCGCCGUGGGGAGUACGGCCGCAAGGCUG